rnacentral:rRNA from 1 species
AGAGUUUGAUCCUGGCUCAGGAUGAACGCUGGCGGCGUGCCUAACACAUGCAAGUCGAACGGAUCCAUAUUGAAACCUAGUGAUGUAUGGAUUAGUGGCGGACGGGUGAGUAACGCGUGGAUAACCUGCCGUAUACAGGGGGAUAACACUUAGAAAUAGGUGCUAAUACCGCAUAAGCGCACGGUUCCGCAUGGAACAGUGUGAAAAACUCCGGUGGUAUACGAUGGAUCCGCGUCUGAUUAGCCAGUUGGCGGGGUAACGGCCCACCAAAGCGACGAUCAGUAGCCGGCCUGAGAGGGUGAACGGCCACAUUGGGACUGAGACACGGCCCAAACUCCUACGGGAGGCAGCAGUGGGGAAUAUUGCACAAUGGGGGAAACCCUGAUGCAGCGACGCCGCGUGAGUGAAGAAGUAUUUCGGUACGUAAAGCUCUAUCAGCAGGGAAGAAAGAAAGUCCUUUGGACUUUGGACGGUACCUGACCAAGAAGCCCCGGCUAACUACGUGCCAGCAGCCGCGGUAAUACGUAGGGGGCAAGCGUUAUCCGGAUUUACUGGGUGUAAAGGGAGCGUAGACGGCAGCGCAAGUCUGGAGUGAAAUGCCGGGGCCCAACCCCGGAACUGCUUUGGAAACUGUGCAGCUCGAGUGCAGGAGAGGUAAGCGGAAUUCCUAGUGUAGCGGUGAAAUGCGUAGAUAUUAGGAGGAACACCAGUGGCGAAGGCGGCUGUCUGGUCUGCAACUGACGCUGAGGCUCGAAAGCAUGGGUAGCGAACAGGAUUAGAUACCCUGGUAGUCCAUGCCGUAAACGAUGAGUGCUAAGUGUUGGAGGGUUUCCGCCCCUCAAUGCCGGAGCUAACGCAUAAACACUCCGCCUGGGGAGUACGCCCGCAAGGUAGAAACUCAAAGGAAAUUGACGGGGGCCCGCACAAGCGGUGAAGCAUGUGGUUUAAUUCGAAACUACGCGAAGAACCUUACCAGGUCUUGACAUCUUGCGCUAACCUUAGAGAUAAGGCGUUCCCUUCGGGGACGCAAUGACAGGUGGUGCAUGGUCGUCGUCAGCUCGUGUCGUGAGAUGUUGGGUUAAGUCCCGCAACGAGCGCAACCCUUGUUACUAGUUGCCAGCAUUAAGUUGGGCACUCUAGUGAGACUGCCGGUGACAAACCGGAGGAAGGUGGGGACGACGUCAGAUCAUCAUGCCCCUUAUGACCUGGGCUACACACGUGCUACAAUGGACGGUACAACGAGUCGCAAGCUCGCGAGAGUAAGCUAAUCUCUUAAAGCCGUUCUCAGUUCGGACUGUAGGCUGCAACUGGCCUACACGAAGUCGGAAUCGCUAGUAAUCGCGGAUCAGCAUGCCGCGGUGAAUACGUUCCCGGGCCUUGUACAAAGGGCCCGUCA